CAGUCAAGAUGUCGCCGAUGACGACUAGCUAAUCGUUAUGAAGCUUAACAAAAGACGCAGCUGGUUUGUUCACUUGAAUUUUAUGACAUUUUUUAUUGUUUGUUAUUUUACUGAGCACAGAUUUUGGUUGCCCACCGUGGAUGCUAUAUGUUCUACAUCUUCCUCGCAUUUUCUCCCUUCGCGCAUUUUUAUUCUCAUUCGUUUCCCCUAUUUUUCAUUGUAAAUAAAAGAAAACGUUCAUUUUUCUUACGUUGAAAAACUUAUUUCUUUUCAUUCUUACUCCAUCUCAAGUUCUUUUUUAGUGUGACAAAAUAUCCAUAUAUAUAUAUAUAUAUAUAUUCAUCUGCGGUCUCUCGGUAAUGUUUUUCGAGUCCACUGUGACUAUUCCUUGUCAUCUGCUGGUGUUACCGCAACAACGUAUAUAACUCUCAUCUUUCUAUUUUCUCGUAUUCCCUAACCAAUUUAUAUCCGUCCUGGUUCCAACAGUCACGACAAACGGUUGCCCUUCGCAUGAAGUUCGCCUCACCGUUGUACAAAGGAAUACUUUACACAGAUUCCCUUGAUGCGUUCGCUCAAAAACGCCCCAUACCCCCUCCCGUAGCCACUACUCACAGCAAUAGACUCAUUCACUAACUCUGUGUGCGCACUCUUUCCCAGCUUGCAGAUCUGUCACUGUUCUUCUGCCGCCGCGGCUCGAUUGACAAAACCGGCCUUCACCAGGAAGGCAACAUUUGCUUACAAAUCGUUCAGCGUUUACUGCUGUAUCGGGUUUUCUUUUUCACCCAUUAUUGCCGCGCUGUUCCACGGGAUGGCUAGCUUUUUUCAAUUGGGUUCAAUUUUCACAUCAGAUAAAGGGUUAAUAGUUUUCCUUCUCUUUCUCCCGGUUAAAUGUUACAUGCACAUGUUUUAUCAUCACCACGAUCUCUGUUCGGUCAUCUUUUACUAUAUGCCGGCGUUAGUAUUCACUAUUUUUACUUAUAUCUGAUUUCCUUUCGAACUUUAUAUAUAUAUAUAUAUAUAUAUAUAUAUAUAUAUACAUACAUAUAUAUGGUCAUUUCCUCUCUCUUACGUACUUAUACGACUUAGGCUUGUUAAAUUUUCGACGCAACUUACGUUGUAAGGUUCAAGUGUCAUUGCUAAAAUUUGAGAUGUUCCCGAUAGAGGACGCUACCUACUUUAUGUGCGCUUCCGCUCCAUACAGCUAUAGAAUCUUAUCUAUGGGCAGUAGACCACAAGCCUGACACCCGUUAGUUCUUAUUUAUAACAACUAUCUUCAAUCCAGUUCUACUGUACAAUAAUCCAUGUAUAAUUAAUGAUGAUUCCCUCGGCUUCAUAUGAACUCGUCUCUCAUUUGGAGGAUUUAGCUUUGUAAUAUUCUGCCGUUGGCGCGUAUAUAUGAAAAGAUCAUUGUUGUAUUCGAAUAUAGAAUAGAAUGUUCGUUCGAGUUUUAUAUUUCGAUGGUUUACGCGAACCAUCGAUUAAGAGCUUAAGCUGUCAGGAACGUUUGUGAACGUUUUUUACGAUUCCAUUCAGCAUCAAAACGUGUACCUGUGCCACAUCGACAUUUGUCUUAACAUAGCCCUAUCGUCUGAUGAACAAAUGCAAUCCGGUGUUAACAUUUUAAUGUAUACUGUAUUCAUUUAAGAUGAGUUUCGUUCAUGUGUGCCUUUGCGAGCCCGUUUGGUUAACUUGAACGAUGCAUAUACGUAUUUUAGUCCAAUGAACGCUCAACGCGUUCGAUUGCCAUACGGAGUCAAUAGCUGCUGAGUAGCUCCCGCGGUCGCCGACAGUGGGAGCCAGUUGAUCUGAGUAAGGCGAUUAAUUACCUUACUAUUAAUAACUACUGUGGUUAUUCCAAACAAAAGCAGGCGUAUUCUAAUGAACUCCAGAGUUCGACGUCCCACCUUCCAUUCUAUCGCUACAUUAGUACGCUUUCCAAAAUCUAUGACAUUAACAGUAACACUAGUAACAACGGCGAUGAUGACACGUAGCAAUAGAACAACAAAUAACAACAAUAGGUUAUUUGCGGAGUGUAAAGUGUGACGAACGACAAUUUCAUCUUUUCAUUAAAAAAGUUGGCAUAGAACUUAAUGUAGCAGUGAUAAUAGUGAUAAGAUUGUAAAGCUUGCGUGUUGACAGUGUGCAUAGGUCAGUUUUAGUAUUAUUACGCCCUAGAGUAAGAAUGUCUGAAUGCGGAAAAUGAUCUAGGGGUAUAAGGAUACAUGGCCGAUAUCACUGUGAAAAUCUCAUUCAACGUGUUUUUGGACUAGUGGUUUCCAGAAUAUAUGGAAAAUGUUUGCCGCAAUUUCUAUCGAAGACUAUCCCCCACCACUUGACAAACUAUUAGCGAGCGACCUUAGUGCGUCAAAAAGCCACGUCAGAAAACGUGCCCAGAAUUGCGUCGGUCCGCCUCAAUUCAAUUCGUGUCCUACUCGUGCCACGUUCGAUAAAGUAAAUACGUAUGGUAGAUAGCAGGUAAACUCAAGGAUUUCUCUUCUCGCCUCAUCGGCCUAGGAAAAGCAGCAGGCCACAGCAAUCGAUGCGCUCGUUUUCUUAGCGUAGCAAGACAGACUACGCCGAUACUACUAAUGCGACCGUGGCAGAAACCCACCUAUCCAUAUUCAUAAUCACCUCUUGGAGCUCGGGCUGGCGAUUGGUUGAAACGGCAAUGGAGGUCCUCGAUGGCGCCGCGUUCAAGAGAUAGAACUGUUAGAGGCUUGUCACGGAAUGUCCGGAGAACUCCAAGAAACAAGUUUGUCCAGUCUGCCCCAGGAGACAUCGGCAUAGCUACUGAUCGAAGCGGUCAAAGUAAUCUGCCAGGAGACAUAUAUCAUUCAACGCAAGAAAUACCUAGGAAAUACACAACA